CAGUAGCCACGGUAAUACAGAGGGUGCGAGCGUUAAUCGGAUUUACUGGGCGUAAAGCGUGCGUAGGCGGCUAAUUGAGUCGGAUGUGAAAUCCCCGAGCUUAACUUGGGAAUUGCAUUCGAUACUGGUUAGCUAGAGUGUGGGAGAGGAUGGUAGAAUUCCAGGUGUAGCGGUGAAAUGCGUAGAGAUCUGGAGGAAUACCGAUGGCGAAGGCAGCCAUCUGGCCUAACACUGACGCUGAGGUACGAAAGCAUGGGGAGCAAACAGGAUUAGAUACCCGAGUAGUCCCUGUCUCUUAUAC
rnacentral:rRNA from 1 species